rnacentral:misc_RNA from 1 species
UUAUCAGGGCCAGUGCCAAACUUUCUUAACGCUACAUUUUCAGUUGACAGCUACGCAAAUAACGAUGGACUCUGUGGAGGGCCGUUGGAAAGAUGCAGAGUACAUCGUCCAAGGAAAUUUGAUUAUUCAUUCAAGAGUGGGUUUGCGAUUGGCUACGUGGUUUUUUCGGUUUCAGUUGCAACUGUGUAUGCGUCCUAUUGUGUACCUUGG